GGUCUGGUGCCAGAAGAUCGCGCCGUCCGCUCGUAACGGACUGGUUGCAGGUUCGUGUCCUGCCGGGUCCACCA
rnacentral:tRNA from 1 species